rnacentral:rRNA from 1 species
GUUGGGUAGGGGAGCGUUCUGUAAGCCUGUGAAGGUGGCCUGUGAGGGUUGCUGGAGGUAUCAGAAGUGCGAAUGCUGACAUAAGUAACGAUAAAGCGGGUGAAAAGCCCGCUCGCCGGAAGACCAAGGGUUCCUGUCCAACGUUAAUCGGGGCAGGGUGAGUCGACCCCUAAGGCGAGGCCGAAAGGCGUAGUCGAUGGGAAACGGGUUAAUAUUCCCGUACUUGGUGUUACUGCGAAGGGGGGACGGAGAAGGCUAUGUUGGCCGGGCGACGGUUGUCCCGGUUUAAGCGUGUAGGUGUGUGUUCCAGGUAAAUCCGGUUCACUUUAACACUGAGGCGUGAUGACGAGGCACUACGGUGCUGAAGUAACAAAUGCCCUGCUUCCAGGAAAAGCCUCUAAGCAUCAGGUAACAUCAAAUCGUACCCCAAACCGACACAGGUGGUCAGGUAGAGAAUACCAAGGCGCUUGAGAGAACUCGGGUGAAGGAACUAGGCAAAAUGGUGCCGUAACUUCGGGAGAAGGCACGCUGACACGUAGGUGAAGUGAUUUACUCAUGGAGCUGAAGUCAGUCGAAGAUACCAGCUGGCUGCAACUGUUUAUUAAAAACACAGCACUGUGCAAACACGAAAGUGGACGUAUACGGUGUGACGCCUGCCCGGUGCCGGAAGGUUAAUUGAUGGGGUCAGCGCAAGCGAAGCUCCUGAUCGAAGCCCCGGUAAACGGCGGCCGUAACUAUAACGGUCCUAAGGUAGCGAAAUUCCUUGUCGGGUAAGUUCCGACCUGCACGAAUGGCGUAAUGAUGGCCAGGCUGUCUCCACCCGAGACUCAGUGAAAUUGAACUCGCUGUGAAGAUGCAGUGUACCCGCGGCAAGACGGAAAGACCCCGUGAACCUUUACUAUAGCUUGACACUGAACAUUGAGCCUUGAUGUGUAGGAUAGGUGGGAGGCUUUGAAGUGUGGACGCCAGUCUGCAUGGAGCCGACCUUGAAAUACCACCCUUUAAUGUUUGAUGUUCUAACGUGGACCCGUUACCCGGGUUGCGGACAGUGUCUGGUGGGUAGUUUGACUGGGGCGGUCUCCUCCUAAAGAGUAACGGAGGAGCACGAAGGUUGGCUAAUCCUGGUCGGACAUCAGGAGGUUAGUGCAAUGGCAUAAGCCAGCUUGACUGCGAGCGUGACGGCGCGAGCAGGUGCGAAAGCAGGUCAUAGUGAUCCGGUGGUUCUGAAUGGAAGGGCCAUCGCUCAACGGAUAAAAGGUACUCCGGGGAUAACAGGCUGAUACCGCCCAAGAGUUCAUAUCGACGGCGGUGUUUGGCACCUCGAUGUCGGCUCAUCACAUCCUGGGGCUGAAGUAGGUCCCAAGGGUAUGGCUGUUCGCCAUUUAAAGUGGUACGCGAGCUGGGUUUAGAACGUCGUGAGACAGUUCGGUCCCUAUCUGCCGUGGGCGCUGGAGAACUGAGGGGGGCUGCUCCUAGUACGAGAGGACCGGAGUGGACGCAUCACUGGUGUUCGGGUUGUCAUGCCAAUGGCACUGCCCGGUAGCUAAAUGCGGAAGAGAUAAGUGCUGAAAGCAUCUAAGCACGAAACUUGCCCCGAGAUGAGUUCUCCCUGAGACUUAAAGUCUCCUGAAGGAACGUUGAAGACGACGACGUUGAUAGGCCGGGUGUGUAAGCGCAGCGAUGCGUUGAGCUAACCGGUACUAAUGAACCGUGAGGCUUAACCCUA